CCCCCCCCCCCCCUUUUUUUUUUGCUGGUACAAAAUCAUAAGAACUUAGUUAUAACACCCUAGGUGAUAAAGAAUAAAGUUAAUCUGGCCUACAUUAGCUGCUUAGACAUUGAUAUGAAAAUAUGAUAGGGAUAUCAAUUUUCUCAUAGUCACAUUUUUUAGCUUUUUGAAUUUUUUUUAUCAAAUUGAUCAGAUAUAUAGUUGGAAAAGAUGCCAUCAAAAGUGAGAAAAAAAAACUGUAAACAGUACAAGACCAUUUAUAUAUGAAUCAAUAUGGAUUUUUUAAUUGUAAAUUUAAAAAUUUUAGUAGAGGUUUAGUAAAAAUAACUUGUUUAUUGGUACAAAAUACAAAAAAAUCAUACAUUUUCCCGUACUUUUUUGUGAAAUUAAAUUAUUUUGGAUUUAACUCAAAAUUUGCACACGAACAUAAUUUUUUUUUUUUUCUUUUUGAAAAAGACUCUAUGGAGCAUCAAUUUUGUAAAGGAAUAAGAUUUUCUUGUUAUUUCUUAUUAGUAAAAAAAUCAAAAAUAUGUUUUCAGUAAUGUUUUCCCGUACUUUUUAUUUACAUUAUUUAUUGCCAAAAAUAGAAUAGAUCACUAUCAGUAUUGUAAAAAAAAUUCCAACAUUGUUAAACUUGAACAUAUAUUGUUGCUUGUCAUUGGAAUAAAAAUUGAUUUAUGUAGUAACAUUAAAUGUUUUUUGUAUUUCAAACAAGGCCACCCCUUCCUGAAAAAAACUGCUGAUUUUCCAAUGCAUGUUAUUGUGGACGUAAAGAUGUUACUGCCGCAAAAAAACUGGACACGAAAAUUUUUUUUUAUAUUAUUUUUUUUUAACUAACAUAUCAGC
rnacentral:lncRNA from 1 species